ACACACACACACACACACACACGAUAUAGACAUAGUUUUGGGUAAACUUCAGAUUUGUCCAUGUUCUCUUCUCUUUUCUUUCUCUCUCUCUCUCUUUUUUUUAUACCAAUAUAUAAAUUUUUUUCUUCUUCCACCAAACUCUGCCCAUCUGUUUAAAACACUAACUGUUUGGGUCCUUCAGGUACAAAGAAUUUCUUGUGGGAUAUGACCCUUAACCAACUGAAGUUGAAGGGGGACACUACAAAUCUUCUUUCUGGUAAGAAGCUGUCUAGUUUCCCAUGACUUGAUCUGGGUAACAAGUUGACAAAGCUGACCCGAUAAACACAGGU